AUUGAACGCUGGCGGCAGGCCUAACACAUGCAAGUCGAGCGGGGUUUUCGGACCUAGCGGCGGACGGGUGAGUAAUGCGUAGGAAGCUGCCCGAUAGAGGGGGAUACCAGUUGGAAACGACUGUUAAUACCGCAUAAUGUCUACGGACCAAAGUGUGGGACCUUCGGGCCACAUGCUAUCGGAUGCGCCUACGUGGGAUUAGCUAGUUGGCGAGGUAAUGGCUCACCAAGGCGACGAUCUCUAGCUGGUUUGAGAGGAUGAUCAGCCACACUGGAACGGAGACACGGUCCAGACUCCUACGGGAGGCAGCAGUGGGGAAUAUUGGACAAUGGGCGCAAGACUGAUCCAGCCAUGCCGCGUGUGUGAAGGAGGCCUUCGGGUUGUAAAGCACUGUCAGCGAGGAGGAAGGGGUGUGUGUUAAUAGUACACACCUUUGACGUUACUCGCAGAAGAAGCACCGGCUAACUCUGUGCCAGCCGCCGCAGUAAGAC
rnacentral:rRNA from 1 species